rnacentral:lncRNA from 1 species
CUCAGAUACUAUAAGCAAUAGGGCUAGUAUAUUCGGUGUAUGGAAGGACUGUAAGGUGUACAUGUCCAACUGGCAGGUGUCAUCUGACCUUGACCUCAUUUUCAUGGUUCAGUGGUCAAAGUUAAAUUUUUGUGUUUUGGUCUGUUUUUCUCAUACUAUAUGCAAUAGGUCUACUAUAUUUGUUGUAUGGAACGAUUGUAAGGUGUACAUGUCUUGCGGGCAGAUGUCAUGUGACCUUGACCUCAUUUUCAUGGUUCAGUGGUCAAAGUUAAGUUUUUGAGUUUUGGUCUUUUUAUCUAAUACUAUAUGCCAUAGGUCAACUAUAUUUGGUGUAUGGAAAUAUUUUAUGAUCUUUAUGUCAGUCGCACAGGUUUUAUUUGACCGUGACCUCAUUUUCACGGUUCAUUGCACAGUGUUAAGUUUUUGUGUUUUGGUCUAUUUUUCUUAAACUAUAAGUAAUAGGUCAACUAUAUAUGUUGUAUAGAAGCAUUGUUAGCUGUACAUGUCUGCCUGGCAUGGUUCAUCUGACCUUGACCUCAUUUUCAAGGUUCAUUGGUCUAUGUUUAGUUAUCUUGGUUAAUGUUAAGUUUAUGUGACAGUUGUUAUAAAGCUUAGCUUUAUACUAAGGACUAUCAACAUAAUAUCAAUGAUUAGUAUAGAAGGCGAGACAUUUCAGCGUGUGCACUCUUGUUGA